rnacentral:rRNA from 1 species
GCAAUACGAACGAUGAUGCCCACUUGUGGGUGGAUUAGUGGCGAACGGGUGAGUAACACGUGAGUAACCUGCCCUUAACUCUGGGAUAAGCCUGGGAAACUGGGUCUAAUACCGGAUAUGACUCCUCAUCGCAUGGUGGGGGGUGGAAAGCUUUUUGUGGUUUUGGAUGGACUCGCGGCCUAUCAGCUUGUUGGUGAGGUAAUGGCUCACCAAGGCGACGACGGGUAGCCGGCCUGAGAGGGUGACCGGCCACACUGGGACUGAGACACGGCCCAGACUCCUACGGGAGGCAGCAGUGGGGAAUAUUGCACAAUGGGCGAAAGCCUGAUGCAGCGACGCCGCGUGAGGGAUGACUGCCUUCGGGUUGUAAACCUCUUUCAGUAGGGAAGAAGCGAAAGUGACGGUACCUGCAGAAGAAGCGCCGGCUAACUACGUGCCAGCAGCCGCGGUAAUACGUAGGGCGCAAGCGUUAUCCGGAAUUAUUGGGCGUAAAGAGCUCGUAGGCGGUUUGUCGCGUCUGCCGUGAAAGUCCGGGGCUCAACUCCGGAUCUGCGGUGGGUACGGGCAGACUAGAGUGAUGUAGGGGAGACUGGAAUUCCUGGUGUAGCGGUGAAAUGCGCAGAUAUCAGGAGGAACACCGAUGGCGAAGGCAGGUCUCUGGGCAUUAACUGACGCUGAGGAGCGAAAGCAUGGGGAGCGAACAGGAUUAGAUACCCUGGUAGUCCAUGCCGUAAACGUUGGGCACUAGGUGUGGGGGACAUUCCACGUUUUCCGCGCCGUAGCUAACGCAUUAAGUGCCCCGCCUGGGGAGUACGGCCGCAAGGCUAAAACUCAAAGGAAUUGACGGGGCGCGCCCA